UGUUAUUGAACUAAAGNUUUAUCGGUAACGGAUGGGGAUGCGUACCAUUAGAUAGUAGGCGGGGUAACGGCCCACCUAGUCUACGAUGGUUAGGGGUUCUGAGAGGAAGGUCCCCCACACUGGAACUGAGACACGGUCCAGACUCCUACGGGAGGCAGCAGUGAGGAAUAUUGGUCAAUGGCCGUAAGGCUGAACCAGCCAAGUAGCGUGAAGGAUGAAGGUUCUAUGGAUUGUAAACUUCUUUUAUACGGGAAUAACACCAUCUACGUGUAGAUGUCUGCAUGUACCGUAUGAAUAAGCAUCAGCUAACUCCGUG
rnacentral:rRNA from 1 species